UGGGGGAAUUUUUGGACAAUGGGCGAAAGCCUGAUCCAGCAAUGCCGCGUGUGUGAAGAAGGCCUUCGGGUUGUAAAGCACUUUUGUCCGGAAAGAAAUCCUUGGCUCUAAUACAGUCGGGGGAUACGGUACCGGAAGAAUAAGCACCGGCUAACUACGUGCCAGCAGCCGCGGUAAUACGUAGGGUGCAAGCGUUAAUCGGAAUUACUGGGCGUAAAGCGUGCGCAGGCGGUUUGCUAAGACCGAUGUGAAAUCCCCGGGCUCAACCUGGGAACUGCAUUGGUGACUGGCAGGCUAGAGUAUGGCAGAGGGGGGUAGAAUUCCACGUGUAGCAGUGAAAUGCGUAGAGAUGUGGAGGAAUACCGAUGGCGAAGGCAGCCCCCUGGGCCAAUACUGACGCUCAUGCACGAAAGCGU
rnacentral:rRNA from 1 species